rnacentral:rRNA from 1 species
GCUCCCAGCCCCCUCAUCCCUAACACUCAAGAAUCUGAGCCCUGUCUGAUCUCAGUAGCUAAGCAGGGUUGGGCCUGGUUAGUACUCGGAUGGGAGACUACCUAGGAAGACCAGGUGCUGUAGGCG